GAUGAACGCUGGCGGCGUGCCUAAUACAUGCAAGUCGAGCGAACAGACGAGGAGCUUUCUCCCCUGACGUUAGCGGCGGACGGGUGAGUCCCACGUGUAUAACCUACCUAUAAGACUGGGAUAACUUCGGCAAACCGGAGCUAAUACCGGAUAAUAUAUUGAACCGCAUGGUUCACUAGUGAAAUACGGUUUUUCUUUCGCUUAUAGACUGAUCCGCGCCGCAUUAGCUAGUUGGCAAGGUAACGGCUUACCAACGCAAGGACGCAUAGCCGACCUGAGAGGGUGAUCGGACACACUGGAACUGAGACACGGUCGCGACUCCUACGGGAGGCAGCAGUAGGGAAUCUUACGCAAUGGACGAAAGCCUGACGGAGCAACGCCGCGUGAGUGAUGAAGGUCUUAGGAUCGUAAAACUCUGUUAUUAGGGAAGAACAAAUGUGUAAGUAACUAUGCACGUCUUGACGGUACCUAAUCAGAAAGCCACGGCUAACUACGUG
rnacentral:rRNA from 1 species